rnacentral:rRNA from 1 species
GACGAACGCNGGCGGCGUGCUUAACACAUGCAAGUCGAACGAAGAGCGAUGGAAGCUUGCUUCUAUCAAUCUUAGUGGCGAACGGGUGAGUAACGCGUAAUCAACCUGCCCUUCAGAGGGGGACAACAGUUGGAAACGACUGCUAAUACCGCAUACGAUCUAACCUCGGCAUCGAGGAUAGAUGAAAGGUGGCCUCUACAUGUAAGCUAUCACUGAAGGAGGGGAUUGCGUCUGAUUAGCUAGUUGGAGGGGUAACGGCCCACCAAGGCGAUGAUCAGUAGCCGGUCUGAGAGGAUGAACGGCCACAUUGGGACUGAGACACGGCCCAGACUCCUACGGGAGGCAGCAGUGGGGAAUCUUCCGCAAUGGACGAAAGUCUGACGGAGCAACGCCGCGUGAGUGAUGACGGCCUUCGGGUUGUAAAGCUCUGUUAAUCGGGACGAAAGNCCUUCUUGCGAAUAGUAGAAGGAUGACGUACC